rnacentral:misc_RNA from 1 species
CGCACCUUGCGCCCUCUGGUAUUCCGGAGGGCAUGCCUGUCUGAGUGUCGUGUAGACUCGAUCCCCGGGGAGACCCGUCGAUCGGAAUUGGGCGUUGCCUCUGGCUCGCCUCAAAUGCAUCAGCGGCGUGUGCCGCGACCGGCGUAUUCAGUUCCGUCGGACGCGUGACGCGUGGCUCACAAUCCACACCUCGAACCUAGACCUCAGAUCAGGUAGGACUACCCGCUGAACUUAA